GGAUUGUUUGUGGGAAUGGGCUAUUCCAUUUAAUAUCCGCACCCCCCCUGUCGAGGAUCCCUGGAAUUCUUCAGGGGUAAAGGGUUUUGAGCUUGGAAUUCUUCAGGGUAAAGUGUUUUGAGCUUGGAAUUCUUCAGGGGUAAAGUGUUUUGAGGUUGGAAUUCUUCAGGGGUAAAGGGUUUUGAGCUUGGAAUUCUUCAAGGGUAAAGAGUUUUGAGCUUGGAAUUCUUCAGGGGUAAGGAGGUUUGAUUUGAAAUUUUUCAGAGCUUGGAAUUCUUCAGGGUAAAGGGUUUUCAGCUUGGAAUUCUUCAGGGGUAAAAGGUUUUGAGCUUGGAAUUUUUCAGGGGUAAAGGGUUUUGAGCUUGGAAUUCUUUAGGGGUAAAGGGUUUUGAGCUUGGAAUUCUUCAGGGGUAAAAGGUUUUGAGCUUGGAAUUCUUCAGGGGUAAAGGGUUUUGAGCUUGGAAUUUUGGAAUUCUUCAGGGGUAAAAGGUUUUGAGCUUGGAAUUCUUCAGGGGUAAAGGGUUUUGAGCUUGGAAUUUUGGAAUUCUUCAGGGGUAAAAGGUUUUGAGCUUGGAAUUCUUCAGGGGUAUAACCAUAAAAAACAUGUAUCCUCGACAGGGGGUGUACGGAUAUUAAAUGGAAUAGCCCAAUUAG